UACGAAGGGGGCUAGCGUUGUUCGGAAUCACUGGGCGUAAAGGGCGCGUAGGCGGCUUGUAGUCGGGGAUGGAAGAGCCUGUGGCUCAACCACAGAAUUGCCUUCGAUACUGCAUGGCUUGAGACCGGAAGAGGUAAGUGGAACUGCGAGUGUAGAGGUGAAAUUCGUAGAUAUUCGCAAGAACACCAGUGGCGAAGGCGGCUUACUGGUCCGGUUCUGACGCUGAGGCGCGAAAGCGUGGGGAGCAAACAGG
rnacentral:rRNA from 1 species